GUCUACGGCCAUACCACCCUGAACGCGCCAGAUCUCGUCUGACCUCGGAAGCUAAGCAGGGUCGGGCCUGGUUAGUACUUGGAUGGGAAACAAUAUUUGCUCAAGUUAGCAGGGAUUAGAAUAGAGGCACAGUGAGCA
ensembl:rRNA 5S_rRNA 5S ribosomal RNA